CGUCUGGCCAUACCUUGAUGUACAGUAAUAUUAUCUCCUCUGUUCACUUUUCACAGUAAGCCUGGAAAUGACAGUCUCUGUAAGUCCUAUGCUGCUCUAAUGGCAAAGAGUUGCCACAAAGAUGGUGAUGAACAGGAGGCUGAAAGCUUUGAAGAGAAGGAGAUGGAAAAACAGAAGUUGCUUUACCAGCAGGCCAGGUUGCAUUGUCGUGGAGCUUCUGAAAUGGUCCUGCAAAUGAUCAGUGCCAGCAAAGGUAGGAAAGGUUAACAGCUGAAUUAAGAUACUCUUGUUAAGUCUAGCAUCUUGCUUUAUUAUGGGGCAUUCUCUUUUUAGCAAG
rnacentral:lncRNA from 1 species